AAGGUCCCUAAAUCUUUGCUAAGUGCAAGUAAGGUGGUGAGAUUUCGUGGAUAGCGAGGAGGUUGGCUUAGAAGCAGCCACCCUUUAAAGAGUGCGUAACAGCUCACUCGUUAAGAGAUCUUGCGCCGAAGAUAAUCGGGGCUAAGCAAAGUACCGAAGAUUGGGAUGGUUCCGCAUUCGUGCGGGACCGUGGUAGGAGAGCGUUCUUUAUGCGAUGAAGGUCACGGCGUGAGCCGGACUGGAGCGUAGAGAAGUGAGAAUGUUGGCACAAGUAACCGCAAGAUCCGUGAGAUCCGGAUCCGCCGAAAGCCCAAGGUUUCCUUGGCAAUGGUGAUCAACCAAGGGUUAGUCGGUCCUAAGGCAAUGGCGAAAGCCGCAGCCGAUGGACAGAUGGUUAAUAUUCCAUCACCCCCGCGUUUUUUGACGGAGCGACGGAGGAAACAAGAAAGAGCGCAUUAUUGGAUUUGCGUUUCCGCGAAUAGAAUUGUUCUCCAGGCAAAUCCGGAGAACGGCCGCAAGGCAAAAUUCAAGAGCGGGAAAACUUUCCGCUACGGCAGAAAGGAUUCUUUUGAAGAGCCUUCCCAGAAAACCUUCUAAAAUUAAAAGCGCGGGGACCGUACCGCAAACCGACACAGGUGGGCAGGUCGAGAAGACCAAGGCGAACGGGUGAGUCCUCUCCAAGGAACUCGGCAAAAAAGCACNNNNNNNNNNNNNNNACUCGGCAAAAAAGCACUCGUAAGUUAGCGAUAAGAGUUACCCGAUGAAAAUCGGGUUGCAACAAAAGUACCCCUGGCGACUGUUUAUCAAAAACACAGCUCCCUGCGAACUCGUAAGAGGAUGUAUAGGGGGUGACGCCUGACCAAUGCGAGAAGGUUAACGUUGGCGGUGCGUGGAAAUUUAUUUCUGCGUGCUGACUGACCGAAGCCCUCGUCAAUGUCAGCGAUAACUAUAAUCGUUCUAAGGUCAGCGGAAUUAGCUAGCCUUAGUAAAACUUGGCUAUAUGCUGGAAGGUCUGUGUAUCCGAAGCUACUAUGGUAUAAUACGUACAUAGAUGAUUACACGUAGUAAAAAUGCUAUCGGUGCAGAUAAUCAGCAGGAAAGGCCAGAAAUUAGGGGGUGGAUAGUUGGUUUUACUGACGGAGAAGGUUGUUUUUCGGUAAGUAUUUUCAGAAAUAAAACCACCAGAUUGGGUUGGCAAAUUUUUCCAGAAUUUGUUAUUACCCAAAGCGAGAAAAGUUUAGAUGCGUUAGAAUUGUUCCGUGAAUAUUUUGAUUGCGGGCGAGUAUUUGUGAACAAACGAUACGACAACCAUAACGAGUAUUUAUAUCGUUUUUGCGUUCGCUCAAUCAAAGAUUUGCGUGAAAAAAUAAUCCCGUUCUUUAAGGAAAAUCAGUUGCGCACAUACAAGCAAAAAGAUUUUAAGAUUUUUGCGGAAAUAGUUGAAAAAAUGGCGCAAAAAGAACAUUUAACCUUAAGAGGAAUGGUGAAUAUCGCCAAACGCACAGAAAAAAUGAAUCGCAAAAUCCGCUCAAGAUUUUUGGAAUCCUCAGAGACUAUACGCCAAGCCCGCCGACAUCUGCGAAGUUGUGGCGGGAAGAUAUAGUCCGAACUUUAUGGCGACAUAAAGAGUCCGACGAAUCUCGGACCAACUUAAAAAGUUGUAACAUAGUUGAGCGCAAUUCCUUGCGUGGUAAGUUCACGCGCGCACGAAAGGCGUAACGACUGGGGGACUGUCUCGGAGAGGAGCCCGGUGAAAAUACAGUACCGGUGAAGAUGCCGGUUACCUGCAGUUAGACGAAAAGACCCCGGAAGCUUUACUAUAGCUUGAUAUUGGGUUUAAGUUUCUGAUGCGUAGCAUAGUGGGGAGGCUUUGAUGUGUUGUUUUAGGAUGACACGGAGCCGUCAGUGAAAUACCCAUCUUCAGUUUCUUAUAUUCUAACCUCGAGGGAAAAAACCGCGGGGAACAGUAUCUGGCGGGUAGUUUAAGUGGGGCACUUCCCUCCUAAAGAGUAAUGGAGGGGCCUAUUAAGGUCGGUUAGCUCCGGAUGGAAAUCGGAGCGAUAGGGUAACGCCAUAAACCGGCUUAACUGCGAGGCGGACAUGCCGAGCAGGUGCGAAAGCAGAGCGUAGUGAUCCGAUCGUCGGCAUUAGAUGCCGCGAAAGCUCAACGGAUAAAAGCUACUCCGGGGAUAACAGGCUAGUACCGCCCGAGCGUCCACAGCGACGGCGGUGUUCGGCACCUCGAUGUCGGCUCACCACAUCCCGGGGGUGGAGAAGCUCCCAAGGGUUUGGCUGUUCGCCAAUUAAAGUGGUACGCGAGCUGGGUUCAAACCGU
rnacentral:rRNA from 1 species